rnacentral:rRNA from 1 species
CCAAUAGCGUAUAUUAAAGUUGUUGCAGUUAAAAAGCUCGUAGUUGAAUUUCGAGAUCAAUAUGUCGGUCGUGCUUAGGUACGUACUGGCAUUAUUGAUUUCUCCUUUCUGAUGAACCAUAAUGCCAUUAAUUUGGGGUUAUGGGGAAUCAGGACUGUUACCUUGAAAAAAUUAGAGUGUUUAAAGCAGGCUCACGCUUGAAUACAUUAGCAUGGAAUAAUGAAAUAGGACGUUUGAUUCUAUUUUGUUGGUUUCUAGGAUCGACGUAAUGAUUAAUAGGGAUAGUUGGGGGCAUUAGUAUUCAAUUGUCAGAGGUGAAAUUCUUGGAUUUAUUGAAGACUAACUACUGCGAAAGCAUUUGCCAAGGAUGUUUUCAUUAAUCAAGAACGAAAGUUAGGGGAUCGAAGACGAUCAGAUACCGUCGUAGUCUUAACCAUAAACUAUGCCGACUAGGGAUCGGAUGAUGUUAAUUUUUUAAUGACUCAUUCGGCGCCUUACG